rnacentral:rRNA from 1 species
UACGUAGGGGGCAAGCGUUGUCCGGAUUUAUUGGGCGUAAAGAGCGUGUAGGCGGCCAGGUAGGUCCGUUGUGAAAACUCGAGGCUCAACCUCGAGACGUCGGCGGAAACCCUCUGGCUAGAGUCCGGAAGAGGAGAGUGGAAUUCCUGGUGUAGCGGUGAAAUGCGCAGAUAUCAGGAGGAACACCGGUGGCGAAGGCGGGUCUCUGGGCCGUAACUGACGCUGAGGAGCGAAAGCGUGGGGAGCGAACAGG